rnacentral:tRNA from 1 species
GUAAAUAUAGUUUAAAAAAACAUUAGAUUGUGAUUCUAAAAACAGAAACUAAUAACUUCUUAUUUACC